GUGCUCACUUCAACAACACAUAUGCUAAAGUCUGAACAAUGCAGAGAAGUUUCCCAUGGCCCCUGCACGGAUGAUACACUAACUCGUUGAGAGUCUUCAAAGUGUG